rnacentral:lncRNA from 1 species
AAAUAGAAUUUCAAUGAUUUUAUUGAAAAUAUCAACUCAUUUUUGCUUACCAAGUUGUGGGUGCACAAUAAUGUAGGACCUUUAACUGUUACCUAAAUUUUAACAACUAAAAAGUGGGAAGGUUUCAAAAAGCCCCUACAGCAAGCUAAAACUACACCCAAAAGUAUCUUAUUUGGCAUAAAGGAUGAAAAGAGACGAGGCCUUGUGGGAUUGCCAUAAAAGAGCUAUUCUAGCAGAACGCUCUAUGACAAAAAUUCAAUAGAAAAAAUUAUAUAUAUAUAUAUAUAUAUAUAUAUCAUAAAUUCUUUAUUCUUUUAUGUAUUUUAUCCUUUUUGAAACCUCUGCAAAACCUCAUGGAAUUGCCAUAAAAAAAGCUACCCUACUAGAAGGCUCCAUAUCUAUGCUUCAAUUGAAUAAUAAAUAGAUCAUAAAUCCAUGGCCGUUUAUGCUUCUUCUUUUUUUUAAUUUUUUCUUGAUGUAUCCUUUGAAAGUAUGGGACUUGGAAAUGGAGCUAAUCACUAGUGCCAUCCAUCAUCCCCUUUUACAAAAAAAACAAAGCCAUUGACUAUCAUUUGCAAGGACUACGGAAUGCAUCCCUUGGCAUGUACUUACUUAGAAAAAGGAUGGGAACCAUAUUUGAACUAUAUUUGGACAAUCCUUCUCAUGCCCCAUUUUGCAAAUAAACUACUUUUUUGUACAUGUCUUCAUGUAGAUAUAAGAAGAAAACUCUAACAUUAAGAUCAACAUGGAUUAUGUGUGAAAUAUUUUGGCAAGAGUACGCUUGUCAAAAAUGGUCUCGAUGCAUGUCUUUGAAAAAGUGGCUCAAAUAAUUGAGAGUCUAAACAAAUUAAAAAUAAACAAAUGAGAAUAGGGCAAAGGUUGUUGUGUGCCACAUAUUAGGGCUAGCCUCUUGAGAAAUCAUAAAGGAAUGUUGACCUCUGUUGCUUUAAUUACUGAGUGAUAAGACACAAUGUUACAUAAAGUACCAUGUUUGAGCUACAUGGCAUGAAAGAAUAGAAUCUUAUUUCAUUCCAAGUGAAAAUUCUAUGUUAACAUUAAAUAUUUUAAACUUCUUUGCAUACAUUGUGUAGAACUGUAUGAAGAUAUUCAUAUAGAGGUUAUUACAUCCACAUAUUUAUAUGUUACACAUAAAAUGUAUACACACUAAACAAAUGAAUGCCAGUUUACCUUUGAAGGAAAUUGAUUUUUGAAGAUGAAACUUCAAAUUUCAAAUUACAAAUUUUAAAAACUUGAUUUCUUAUAUAUAUAUAUAUAUAUAUAUAAUUUAAUUUAUAGGUAGUUAGUAUUUUUAAAGAAUAAUUUUAUUGUUUUUUAAAAGAAAAAUAAAUAAAUAAUCAAUUUAAAUUUUGUUGAUAAAUAUAUAUGGAUAUAUAUAUAUAUAUAUAUAUAUAGGUUAAAUUUAUCAAUUCAAAUCUUAUAAUUUCAAAUUCAAGUAUUUAAAAUAACAACUGUAUGCUAAAUUUUAUGUUGUAGAUAUUAUAUGAUCUUUAAUAAUCCUUUUUUCAUUAAAAUAUUUUCCCAAUUUUUGAAAGAGAAAAGAAACAAAAAAUCAAAUAAUCAAACACUCCAAUCAUUUCAAAUACUCCAUGCAGAAUCUAUAAACAGUGGUGUUGUAUGCUGUGGUUUUUCAAGUAUGUGAUUUCAACUUCUUUUUUUUUUGUUCCUACAAUAUACAUUUUCACCUUUAAGUAGUAGAAGAUAAAAAAAUAAUAAUAAUAAUAAUAAUAAUAAGUAAACCUAACUAUAUUUCUGAAAUUUUAAAAGUAGCAUGAUCAUUACACAAAUGUAAAUCAAAACAAUUCAAGCCACUAAAUUAAUAUCUCUAGAAUAUCUCUAGAAAAACUGAAUAAAUUUUUCAUGAAAAUAAUAUUGAUGCAUGAAAUUUCAAAAAAAGAAAAAAGGUGCUAACAUGUACUUUCAAAAAUAACUCAAUAUGUGGGUAUAUAAUAGGAGUUUAAGAUAAGAUUAAAUAGACCAAAAUUGAAAAUAUCAGAUUUCAGCAUUAUUUGCAAUUCAUUUAAAAAAAUAGUUACAUUGGAGGGAAUAUAGAAUAAUAUUUAUUCGGGGAUUAUGCAAGUUACUAUUAAAAUAGUUUUUUUAGGAAUAACAUAGUUGCUAUCCCAAUAUUCAAUUUUAUUAGUGCCUCAUGUGUCUUUUACAUCAACACUAGAUCAAACAUUGGCCAUUCAUUUUAAACAAUUAUCAGUUCAAAAGAUAUGAAAGAAGAUUUUCAGAAUUUAAACAAAAUAAGCAUGGUACAAUAUUUGGUCAAGUGAUGUACCAAGGCAAAAGAAAUAUGCAAGAAUGUGCAAAUGAAAUAGACACUUCUCACUGAAUGUACACAUUAAAACUGUACAAAGACAAAAAGGGCUCAACAAUGAAGCACAUUGGGAUUAGAAAAAUGUAAUUUAUUUUGGGCCUGUGCACAUUACCAUCACUUUCUCACAUUUCAAUCCAACAUAAAGUUUCAAUGUCACAUGAAAGGAGUAGAAGACUCUGAUAACACUUGCAAUUAAACUUUCCAUAUUUGAACAAGUAAUUUUUAAAAAGAAACUACAUUUCAAAAUGUACAAUCAUUCACCCGUUUGACCAAGUUUGGCAUAAAUCAAACAAUUUAAGAAUAAUAAACAAGACAAAAUAAAAUCAAGUGUAUACUGAGAAUUAUAUAGAAAUUGAAUCUAAAUAAUAAACUUAUACCUGGUAUCCAGAAUUUUCCUGCAAAAUUUAAUCUUUUUUUUCUUUUAAAAUUUGAAUGGAGUAUUACUAAGAUUCAAAUUUCUAACUAAGAAAUAAAAUCUCCAAUGAUUAUACCAUGGAAUUCAAUGCAUUCAAUAGUAGUGGAUAAACUCAAAAUAAAGCUGUUGGUGAUUUAUUUGUUUGUUUGUGUGUAUAUAUAUAUAUAUAUAUACAUACAUAUAUGUUGCACAAUAUCAUAUUUCUUUCACAAGUUUUUCAUCCAUCAACUGAAAGAAAUAUGUUUUUCUUAACAUAUAAGAAUGACAAACUGUACUUGUCAUUCAAUUAAACAUCUUGUACCUCCUUUGAAAGUUGAACUGCUCAAUAAAUAUUCAAAGAUUGUGUGUGUGUGAGUGUGUGUGUGGGUAUUGAUAUAUCAAAAGAAUUGUACAGUGUUCAGAGGAUCCCAUGGCAAUUCUAACUUUUAAGCAGACCAGUUUUUAAGAACAAGAUAUUUGAGGAUAUAGAGUUAAUCACUACAAACGAAGUGAAAGAAAAAUAAUAACUUAUGGUCAAUUGUUACUUCAACAAAACCAAAAAAAAAAUCACGCUCAUUAUGAAUAUUAUAUUACUCACAUUUUUGAUAACAUAGGAAGUGUAUAUAAUUUUGAGGAAGGUUUAAACCUUUUUCAUAUAACUUUGUAAGAAUGUUGUUGUAAAAUGCAUAAAGAGAAAUGAAUUCAACAAGAAGAUAUAAAAACUUCGAAAUCAACUAAAAUCUAUUUUGUGUGAAUUUUCUCUUCGUGAAUCAAUUUUUCAUGUAAUUAGAGCCUUGAAUUUUAAAAGAGAAUUAUUUCAAAAAACUUUUGGUAAACAAUUCGCACUUGUAGUAGGAGAAUUGCCGAGGUCUACUCUACAUUUCAGUGUGGAUUGAAAUUCAAAGGCAGACUUUGGUAAAAUACUUCUCCUUAUUGUGCUUUGAAAUUUAUUGUUGUAAAAGAAAUAUAUUACAUCAAGGUUAAAAAAAAACAAAGUAAAUCAAAGCCUGAAAAACAAAAAUCUAUGAACUAUAUUUGAUAUAUAUAUAUAUACAUAAAUGUUAAUUUAUUUGUCUCCAUUGCUUGUGGGGUUGCUAUAUAUUUCUUCCUGAAAACCUCUACUUAAUCAAAAUAACCACAACAAUAUUAGACUCCAAGAACAAAGCCUAAGUGGUGUGAAUAACUCCUUUGAAAAAACCUAAACAGAUUUGCAGAGUUGCUCAACUUAAGCAACAUAAGUGGAUUCUUUGUGAAACAUGGGUUGAUUUCAAUACCUAAUUUGUUGUGAUUUUAAAAACAUAUGAGGUGAUUGCGCUGUGCGGAUUGUGGAUUGCAGUCUCCAAUGUGUGAUUGAAAACAUUGACUUUGUUUUUUUCUACUUAGUUCUUUUCAACUAUACUCUAUUGGGGGUACUGAACACUAUCACCAAGGAUGGUCACUUCAUGAACUUCUAACAUUGCAUAAAUAAAUAAAACACUUGCAAAAUCUAAUAUAUAUAUAUAUAUAUAUAUAUCUAAUAUCGUUAAAAGAAAUAUUCGUGUAUUACUUUUAGAAAUAUGAUUGUUUUGUAAGGAAGAUAGAUAAUUUGUUUUGGAAUCAUUUUGGUUUGAUAGAACACGUUUCUAUAAUUCUUGGUUGCAAUAAUUGCUUUAUAAUUUACUAUUAUAUUACAUAUUUUUAUAUACCAAUAAUUUUUGCAAAUGUAUUACUUUUCAAAAUAAAUACGUGUCUCAUAUUCUAAAAUACAGAACCAUAAUAUUUUUUGUUUUUUUUUGUAGGUGGUUUUACUUAUUUUCUAUCGAUUGAAACUAUUACGCAUCAAAAAGUAUUAAAUUACAUAAAGAGAUGAAAGUAUACAUUCACAAAUUUAUUUUUAAUAAUUUCAAUUAUUUUCCCGCCACAUCAAUAGAUAACGCUACAUGUUAUCAUUAUUUUAAUUGUCAUAGAAAUUCGAUUGUUGAGACAAAGUUAAAAUUUAUUGUAAAGUAUAUUUCUUUGACUCAUAAUAUCGUAUAUAUAUAUUACUAAUAAAUUUUGAACAACCACAAUGCAUAAAGCCCAACCCCCAAAAAAAGUUAAAAGUAAUGAAAACAAACUGGGACUUUUACAACACAAGGCAUUUUAUUCCAUUCCUUCGUCAAUAGUAGGAGUAGUAAUAAUAAUAAUAUUGUCACCCCACUUGAGAAAGCAAGUAAAAUCCAGAAUUGAAAAAUGAAAAAAAAUAAAAACCACAUGGGGCCCAUUCAAAGGGAAAAGUACAUAAACAUGACAACAACGGAUUUUGUUUAUUAAUAUGGGCAGACACCCCCUCUUUAUCAUUCUCUUUCUCAUGACCAUAGUAAUAAUAAUAUUAUUAUUACUAUUACUACACAAAAUAAAAUGAAAUAAAUAAAAUGGAAGUUUGUAUGGCGCUGUUUGAAAGUGUCUGACUGGGCAGCCAAGCGGGAACGCUGAAGCUCCUCUGCAGGACCGGACGGGUGACCCCCUCUCAUUCCCUUCUCCAUUAAAUGACCAGCCAGAUUGGCGGGACGGAGCACCCGACCCGCUCCUUUUGUCUCUUCUCCCCCCCCCCAUUUCCUGCCAUAUCCCUUCAAUGGCCCCCUAGCCCAGCC